GAUGAACGCUGGCGGCGUGCCUAAUACAUGCAAGUCGAGCGAACAGACGAGGAGCUUGCUCCUCUGACGUUAGCGGCGGACGGGUGAGUAACACGUGGAUAACCUACCUAUAAGACUGGGAUAACUUCGGGAAACCGGAGCUAAUACCGGAUAACAUGUUGAACCGCAUGGUUCAACAGUGAAAGACGGUCUUGCUGUCACUUAUAGAUGGAUCCGCGCCGCAUUAGCUAGUUGGUAAGGUAACGGCUUACCAAGGCAACGAUGCGUAGCCGACCUGAGAGGGUGAUCGGCCACACUGGAACUGAGACACGGUCCAGACUCCUACGGGAGGCAGCAGUAGGGAAUCUUCCGCAAUGGGCGAAAGCCUGACGGAGCAACGCCGCGUGAGUGAAGAAGGUCUUCGGAUCGUAAAACUCUGUUAUUAGGGAAGAACAAAUGUGUAAGUAACUAUGCACGUCCUGACGGUACCUAAUCAGAAAGCCACGGCUAACUCCGUG
rnacentral:rRNA from 1 species